UACGUAGGAUCCAAGCGUUAUCCGGAUUUACUGGGCGUAAAGAGUUGCGUAGGUGGCAUAGUAAGUUAAUAGUGAAAGCGUGCGGCUCAACCGCAUAUCCAUUAUUAAAACUACUAAGCUAGAGAAUGAGAGAGGUCACUGGAAUUCCAAGUGUAGGAGUGAAAUCCGUAGAUAUUUGGAGGAACACCGAUGGCGUAGGCAGGUGACUGGCUCAUUUCUGACACUAAGGCACGAAAGCGUGGGGAGCAAACGGG
rnacentral:rRNA from 1 species